AGCGAACGCUGGCGGCAGGCCUAACACAUGCAAGUCGAACGAACCUUUCGGGGUUAGUGGCGGACGGGUGAGUAACACGUGGGAACGUGCCUUUAGGUUCGGAAUAACUCAGGGAAACUUGUGCUAAUACCGAAUGUGCCCUUCGGGGGAAAGAUUAAUCGCCUUUAGAGCGGCCCGCGUCUGAUUAGCUAGUUGGUUGAGGUAAUGGCUCACCAAGGCGACGAUCAGUAGCUGGUCUGAGAGGAUGAUCAGCCACAUUGGGACUGAGACACGGCCCAAACUCCUACGGGAGGCAGCAGUGGGGAAUCUUGCGCAAUGUGCGAAAGCCUGACGCAGCCAUGCCGCGUGAAUGAUGAAGGUCUUAGGAUUGUAAAAUUCUUUCACCGGGGACGAUAAUGACGGUACCCGGAGAAGAAGCCCCGGCUAACUUCGUG
rnacentral:rRNA from 1 species